GAUUGUCGCCGUCUUUGGCCGUCACGUCGUCGGCCUUGGAGCUCUGGCGAAAGAAAGAAAAUUACGAGAACCAGAUUUAAUGGCCGAGGAAUUUGUCUCCGCCCCGACUUUGCUAAAAGCUUCCACGUUGAUUUUCUCCGUCGUCAGUCUCGUCGUUUGCUUUUCCUACCUGUCAACGGCGACUUUGGUGGGCGUGGCACAUUCAGAUGAGCUGUGCAGCGAGGAAAUGGAGAUGACGGACUGACGAACGGAUCUCAGCACGGAGCAAGCUCUUUGAAACAUUCCUCCAUGCGCUCGUGGAAGGGACGCAGGGCGUCGGAGACUCUUUUGCCGUGGAGGGCGAUGCCUGCGCCCAGCAGCGGGAUCUACAAAGGCAAAGGUGAAUCGGAGGCCUGCGGGUACAGCGGG